AUUGAACGCUGGCGGCAGGCCUAACACAUGCAGGUCGAACGGUAACAGGAAGAAGCUUGCUUCUUUGCUGACGAGUGGCGGACGGGUGAGUAAUGUCUGGGAAACUGCCUGAUGGAGGGGGAUAACUACUGGAAACGGUAGCUAAUACCGCAUAACGUCGCAAGACCAAAGAGGGGGACCUUCGGGCCUCUUGCCAUCGGAUGUGCCCAGAUGGGAUUAGCUAGUAGGUGGGGUAACGGCUCACCUAGGCGACGAUCCCUAGCUGGUCUGAGAGGAUGACAGGCCACACUGGAACUGAGACACGGUCCAGACUCCUACGAGAGGCAGCAGUGGGGAAUAUUGCACAAUGGGCGCAAGCCUGAUGCAGCCAUGCCGCGUGUAUGAAGAAGGCCUUCGGGUUGUAAAGUACUUUCAGCGGGGAGGAAGGGAGUAAAGUUAAUACCUUUACUCAUUGACGUUACCCGCAGAAGAAGCACCGGCUAACUCCGUG
rnacentral:rRNA from 1 species